UGAUAUCCACGUGGAUCCAAUUUUGUCCGUAGAUCGAGUUCCUGCCUCGUGGACUGUGCACGUUGUCCUAAUCUAUAAUAAUAGAACCACGCAGGUCAAGCUAAGCAACACGAUGCGUUGCACGCACGCGCUCUACGUGUACACUGCACAACCGACUGUGCAAAUUGCGCAAAUUGUACAAACAAAGUUGGGCAAAUUUUAUUCCCAAUAAAGAAAUAACGAAUAAAUCUCGAAGUUUAUUCGUAAAUAAAAAUUAACGAUUUUAUUGACCGGAUGAAAAUCAAACUGUGCAUAAAAGAGCUAUCUCAAGUAGGAUGAAAGGACAAAGUUCAGCGAAUAAGGAUGACCUAACCUAACUCAACUCGCCACGAAGAAAAUGUAGAAAAAAGAUCCAAUGGAAACGAUCGUUUUGCGUAUCUACGAAUUUUUAGCAUUCGUGCAACAAAAUGUACGAAAAUCUGCCUUCGAAGUUUCAAUUUAUUAAUUUAAAUGGUGCAAAGGUUAUCGAAACGUUAAUUACUCGACUAAACUACAUUUUUAAGUAUCCAUUAAGCGAACUGUAUUAAAGUAUCCACGAACGUAACAAUGAUAGCACGAUACGGCAGUAAAUUACAAUUACAAUACAAUUUUUUAUUUGAACACCUAACGCAAGGUUAUGGUUCAGACGGCAGCAAAUAGAAUUAAUGAUUGCGUUAAUAUGAAUGGACAUUAUGUUAUACGAUGUUGUAAUUAAUUUUUCUUUCUUUUUUUUUCUUUCCAUCAAGUCACAAUUUCAAUGGAUAAGUUAGGUGUUCCAAGAAUCGAACAUCGUUAUGUACCUGCAGGUGGUUCCAUUCCAAGCACAGGAACUCCACAUUGAAACUUCUUCAAGAAAUGAUGGAAAUAACAGCGCAAUAAUUCGAAGGGCACUGCUGUACUACGUUCUCCAAAUAAAUGGACGGCGCAUUUGAUAUGUUUGAUUGUUAAAUCUUUGACUGAGCCGCCUCCCUACCACCCCA